rnacentral:rRNA from 1 species
AAUAGAUACCCGGGUAGUCCACGCCGUAAACGAUGAGUGCUAGGUGUUGGGGGCAUCACGUCCUCAGUGCCGAAGGAAACCCAAUAAGCACUCCGCCUGGGGAGUACGGCCGCAAGGCUGAAACUCAAAGGAAUUGACGGGGGCCCGCACAAGCGGUGGAGCAUGUGGUUUAAUUCGAAGCAACGCGAAGAACCUUACCAAGGCUUGACAGUCCCAUUGACCGCGCUAGAGAUAGUGCUUCCCUUCGGGGCAAUGGUGACAGGUGGUGCAUGGUUGUCGUCAGCUCGUGUCGUGAGAUGUUGGGUUCAGUCCCGCAACGAGCGCAACCCUUAUCCUUAGUUGCCAGCAGGGUAAAGCUGGGGCUCUCUAAGGAGACAGCCGGUGAAAGCCGGAGGAAGGUGGGGAUGACGUCAAAUCAUCAUGCCCCUUACGUCUUGGGCUACACGACGUGCUACAAUGGAUGGUACAAAGGGCAGCAAAACCGCGAGGUCGAGCAAAUCCCGAUAAAGCCAUUCUCAGUUCGGAUUGUAGG